rnacentral:rRNA from 1 species
UACGGAGGGUGCAAGCGUUAAUCGGAAUUACUGGGCGUAAAGCGCGCGUAGGCGGACCUGCAAGUCGGGGGUGAAAGCCCGAGGCUCAACCUCGGAACUGCCUUCGAUACUGCGGGUCUCGAGUCCGGGAGAGGUGAGUGGAAUUCCUAGUGUAGAGGUGAAAUUCGUAGAUAUUAGGAAGAACACCAGUGGCGAAGGCGGCUCACUGGCCCGGUACUGACGCUGAGGCGCGAAAGCGUGGGGAGCAAACAGGG